UUGAACGCUGGCGGAAUGCUUUACACAUGCAAGUCGAGCGGCAGCGCGGGGCAACCUGGCGGCGAGCGGCGAACGGGUGAGUAAUAUAUCGGAACGUAUCCAAUAAUGGGGGAUAACGAGUCGAAAGACUUGCUAAUACCGCAUACGCCCUACGGGGGAAAGCAGGGGAUCGCAAGACCUUGCGUUAAUGGAGCGGCCGAUAUCUGAUUAGCUAGUUGGUGGGGUAAAGGCCCACCAAGGCAUCGAUCAGUAGCUGGUCUGAGAGGACGACCAGCCACACUGGAACUGAGACACGGUCCAGACUCCUACGGGAGGCAGCAGUGGGGAAUUUUGGACAAUGGGGGCAACCCUGAUCCAGCCAUUCCGCGUGAGUGAAGAAGGCCUUCGGGUUGUAAAGCUCUUUCGCAAGGGAAGAAAACUUACCCAAUAACACCGGGUGAGGCUGACGGUACCUUGAUAAGAAGCACCGGCUAACUACGU
rnacentral:rRNA from 1 species